AGCCUGCUAAUUAGUUCUCCUGUCCACUGUACUUGUGCAGGCGGGCGCUCGCCAAAUCUGCCCUUCACGGUUGACCCGGUGGUGCGUGUGGUGGUCUUGUUGUUGUUGUUGUUGGUCGCUUAGCUGCUGUUGCUGCCGCUGCUGCUGCCGUGUAGUGUUGCCCGCAAGGACAGCGCUUGGUGGCGGUGGCUGUGGUGGUGGUGGUUGGCUGAUGACGACGAGGAUGAUGAUCAUCAAGCGUGUCCGCUUGGCUGGCUUGGGUGGAUAGAGCAGUGUUUGCUUCCGAGUACGGCGCGGGUGUCUACUUCUUAGAGGGACAAGCGGGAGAAGCCGCACGAAAUUGAGCAAUGACAGGUCUGUGAUGCCCUUAGAUGUCCGGGGCCGCACGCGCGCUACAAUGACGGUGGCAACGAGUCUGACUUUCUGGCCCGAAAGGGUUGGGUAAACUGGUCAAUCACCGUCAUGACAGGGAUCGGGGCUUGGAAUUGUUCCCCGUGAACGAGGAAUUCCUAGUAAGUGCAAGUCAUAAGCUUGCGCUGAUUACGUCCCUGCCCUUUGUACACACCGCCCGUCGCUACUACCGAUUGAAUGGUUUAGUAAGGUCCUCGGAUUGGCGCCAUUGCAGCGCAGGGCUCAGGCGGUGCUGAGAAGACGACCGAACUUGAUCAUUUAGAGGAAGUAAAAGUCGUAACAAGGUUUCCGUAGGUGAA
rnacentral:rRNA from 1 species